rnacentral:tRNA from 1 species
GCAGUGAAGCUCAGUGGUAGAGUACUUGCCUAGCGUGCACAAGGCUCUGGGUUCCAUCCCCAGCACCACA